UCCGCCAUUUUGUGUGAGUGUGUGGGGUCGCUCCGCCAUUUUGUGUCAGGCUGUGGGGUCACUCCGCCAUUUUGGCUAAGGGCAUGAUUCACUCAGCCAUUUUGUGACAGCCCAUCGAUCACUCCACCAUUUUGUGUCAGGCCAUGGGGUCACUCCACCAUGUUGUGUGAGAUACUGAAUUCCUCCCAGUGGUAUUCUUUCGUGCAAAUGUGGGUGCUGGAUGUUCCAGAUUCUGCUUCGAAUGCGCUUCAGGAAAUCUGUGAGAAAAGAAAGCAAGAAAAUUCCUUUUAGUAUGUUUUCUAGAGUUUUUAUUUCUUCAGCUAAGGAGAUCUCUGAACAAAGAGCUAUUCCUUUGCUGACUGUUGAUGUGCACUGUACCCAAGUACUGGAGGAAGUACCUGUUGGUUUUCAGUACGUAACACUCCCAGAUUAACGCAGGUUCCUUUUGGCAUCUACCUUUAAACACGGUGAAUAUUCAUCAGUGACAUUCAGGCAAGGUGAGUAAAAUCUGAUUUUCUUCAUACUACAGACACUAUUAAUUAUACAACCAAUGUUAGGUCUCUUUGUCCAAAAGAGAACAUUAGCUCAGAAAGACACCGGGACCUACAACGUGCCGGUUUGCUUUUGAUUUAAUGAACUGUAGUCUCGGGACAGCAGGAACAUUGAUGUUGCCAUUCUCCAUCUUUUAUUUUCUGCUUUCCAAGAACAGACAGAGAAUGUGUAUUCCCAUGGGGUAAAAAAGAGCAUAAGAUUUAAUUUAGCAGUUAAGUAACAGAAGCUCCACUUCAGCAUCCCAUUCUGUUCAGAGGAGUACUCGAUAAUGUACAUAACAUCCUUUCUGUGGAUCUUAAGUCAAGGUCUUGAUGAACUGGAGGAUUUGUGUCAAAGACAGGCCAAUGUAAAAAUACAAAAAUGCUCUCUUUUCCUGCAUUUUGCUUCCUGUUUCCAUCUCUGCCAAGCAAGCUAAUAACAAAAAAUAUAAAUACAGAUAAACACACAAAAGAAGAUAUAAUUAAGUACCUGAAUUUGAAUUAAUGGUGCAUCAAAAGUAUAAGCCAUGAUAUGGUUUAAGUUAUUUCAUAAAUUCCAUUCAUUACAGGUAUAAUCAGGGCAAGGUUGCUGAAGUUUAGCUUGCAACUGAAGUAACAGAACUGAUUAACAACUGUUACUGUGAAUUUCCAUAAGGAAGGGAGAACAGGGUCCUGAAAUGUCAUACCGAUGUAGCCUGAAACAUACUUUUUUAUAAUUCCUUGUAAACAUCAGUGUCUCAGUAAAAGUCAAGUAUUUAAUCACCUGAAAUCAGUGCAGGCCAUGACGUUUGUUGUCGUUCCCUAGAUUUGCUUCAAAAGAUCACUUUUGAGCAUUACUUGGCAAGGACAUCUUUAUUCCUGAUUAAAAGCAGCUUGUUUCUGCUAGUUAAGCUUCUGCUAGUUAAGCUGAGCCGGGAUGGAGCAGCGUGCAGGAGAAAGUCAAAGCCUCACCCUGAGUGUAGGAAUGGUUCUACACCAGCAGUGUGCAGGGCACAGUUUGGAAAUGGACAUCACUAGCAACAGAACAUCUGUAUGCCUUUGCCAAAAUCCAAAGGAAGAGACUAAUUCCUUUCAGAUAACCAAGCUGUGGUUUUUAAGAUGGCUGGAGGAGGGGGAGUGUGGCCCUGUGAGAAGAUGAAGAGCACCAAGCUGUGACUGCUGUCAGGCUUUGAAUAAAGAAAUUGCAUGUUGCUUAAAAGAAGCAUUUUGGGACAGUGAACUGUAUGCCAUUAAAGAAAUGCUUCAUAUAGCAUCAUCUAAUUUUUUUCUAAAGAAGCACAACUUUCAAAGCUCUGAAUAUUGGUAAAACUGGAAGGGCAUAGCUAGUAAUGUCUUACCUUUGGACAACAUUCUGAAGUCUUUCUCACAGCAUACUUCUUUAUAGUAAUUAGUUGCAGUUUUAUUUUGGUUUUCAUCAGCAGUUUCCAUUACAUUUUGUCACUCUGGAUGGAGGGAAUAUAGUUAGUGUUGAUAAAAAGCAUAUUGGGUCAGUGAUGUUGAUCUUUACCAAAUUGUUUAGGCUCUCAAGUGACCCCUAAGCAAUCUCUUAGCAGACCCAUUUCUAAUACAUCUAAAUAAUUGAUCUCUUAUUACUGCCUGGCUGUGGAGGAUUUAUUUGAAAGAAAUCCACAUAGAAGGAUUUGAAAAAGUACAGAGGGAACACAUAGCUCUGGCCUUCAGCCCAGGUGACUUCAGCAUCCUUUGUCUUUAAAUGUGAUUUCUUUGAGGUUUUUACUGCUGCUAGACUUUUUUUCUCUUCUCUUGGCAAGGAAAAAGGCUGCCUGAUUAAUUCUGCUUUCGACAUUGGAUGUGAAAGUCUGCUUAGAAAGCCCCUGUGUGGAAUGGCAGCAGAGAAGAGCAAGAAGUGCCUGCUUUUUGUGAGGAAGGACACGCUGUGCUGCUUCCCCUGCCUCAGCCACAGAGCCCUCACCACCAGACAUUGAAUUCCUUAGCCUGUGAGUGUGCCAACAUCCAGCAGUUACCCCAGUGGAAAAGCCACGUCAGGGACUCCCUUCUGUGUUGUCUCCGGAGACAGAAGACUUCCCAAGCCCUCAGAUCAUCUUGUAAUUCUUCAUGAAUUCAAGACCGUGUGCAUAAUGACAAUGUGUACAGAUUGAGACCAAACACAAAGAACUCCUAGCCCAGGUGCUGCUCUCCAACAAAGCAUUACUCAUCUCACUGCACAUUUUUCAGAGACUUCAGUCAAGUUCCUUGUCAAGUAUCAGUGGAGUAUGAAAAUCACUUAACUGAUUGGACACAGGUAUCAUUUACUCAACAUAUUCAAGAUAAAAGAGAACGAAUAACCUUCUUUGCUCCCUGAGUGGAUUUAACAUCACAAAGAAGGAACAUAUGGUUUCAUCUUUUACUAAGCAGUACCUUGGCACUCCCCAGGAGCAGGCUCUUCCUACUGGCUUGGAAAGCCAUUUUACCUACUGCAAACACAGACAGCCUAUGGAAUAAACAGAGCUUCCAACGAGAUCUGCAGGCCUUGGAGCAGGCUGCAAAGGAGGGAUUGGCAUUGAUAUUAAUGGGAAGGAGAUAUUGCCAUGGUUUGCCAAAAAUGAGACAGAACAUUUUCUUUCCUCCUGAGGGGUGUGCAUUGGAAACAGGCAAAAGGCAAAACAGAGAAUGCCCUGUGUGGAAAGGGUCACAUCCCCCAAGAAACAGAGGCUCAUCCAAGCACUGAAAUACCAGACAGAUGGAGGAACCUUUCAGGGGAAUAUACAGAGGGGAAUACAAGGAGUGAAAAUGGAAGGUGGCUCUUCUCCAGACAUCCAGAGAGAACAUUCUGCCUCCGCUGUGGCUCUCCUCUUUCCAUCCUUCCUAUGAAUUUUAUUUGCUUGCCCACUGGAGAAAAGGAAUAGCAGAAGAAGGCAGCUGUCCUUUGCUUUUUGAUGUACAAGCUGCCCUUGGCAUUUUACAACUUCACAUCUUGCCAAACACAAAACUCCUGAAACCAAGUGCUUUUGGGGUGGUGUGAGUGAUGCUCCUGGUCCUGCUUCCCAAACUGCUCCAAAGCUGCCACAGACAGGGUGGGGACCAAAGCUGAGAUUGGGAAGGUGAUGAGAGAAACAAUACAACCAGAAUCCUGAGAAUUCUCCACAACCUGAAGUAAAGAAGAAAUCUUACAUCAUGGACAAACUCACUUUUCUGCCAAUGAAGAAUGAAUUUAUGCAUGAGCUAUUGUUGUUUAUACUUCCAGGGAUGCUAAAUAACAAAUGCAGAUGAGGGCUGUAUUUUAGCACUUGGGAAACAGCUUUCUGAACCCUUGGGCAGGGCUGUUGAACUAAACACAAAGCUUUUAUCUCUCUGAAUCUCUCAGGGCAUAUUAAUCCUUCACUUAGAGGUUUGUCAGAUGAAAAGCUGCUUGAAUGGUUGGCUAUUUUUUUAAUUGUGUCUCAACUGUAUCGGUGCUGUGUACAGAUGACAUAAAGCCAGAGCCAGGAGUCCCAGCAAGCUCCUGUGAUGCCUCUGGGAUGUGCAGGACCCGACGCUGCCCUCCUGCUGCUGCUGCUGCUGGGAGCAGCGAGGGUGGGGCUGAGCCCAGCCCAGCUCCUGCAGCUUCACCGAGGAGCCCAGCAGUGGGGUCUGGCACCCACAGGGAGGAGUUUGUCUGGGGAGGGUGAGCCAAGCCUUUCUGUGCACGUGGAAUCACUUGGAAUCAUGGCAUGACUGGGGCUGGAGGGACAGCUCAGCUUGUUCCCACCUCUUGCCAUGAGCAGGGACACAUUUCACAGACCAGCCUGCUCCAACCUGGCCUUCUUCCAGGGAUGGGGCAGCCACAGCUU